UACGAAGGGUGCAAGCGUUACUCGGAAUUACUGGGCGUAAGGCGUGCGUAGGUGGUUCGUUAAGUCUGAUGUGAAAGCCCUGGGCUCAACCUGGGAAUGGCAUUGGAUACUGGCGAUCUAGAGUGCGGUAGAGGGCAGUGGAAUUCCCGGUGUAGCAGUGAAAUGCGUAGAGAUCGGGAGGAACAUCUGUGGCGAAGGCGACUGCCUGGACCAGCACUGACACUGAGGCACGAAAGCGUGGGGAGCAAACAGG
rnacentral:rRNA from 1 species